UACGUAGGGAGCAAGCGUUGUCCGGAUUAUUGGGCGUAAAGAGCUCGUAGGCGGCUUAGCAAGUCAGGUGUGAAAACUCCAGGCUCAACCUGGAGACGCCACUUGAUACUGCUAUGGCUUGAGUUCGGUAGGGACCUGGAAUUCCUGGUGUAGCGGUGAAAUGCGCAGAUAUCAGGAGGAACACCGAUGGCGAAGGCAGUG
rnacentral:rRNA from 1 species